UUAAUGGAUAUUAAGUUAUCAAUUGAUAGAAAGCACAGAUUUAUAAUGUAUUUUAGGUUUUACAAAAGACCCUUCUCCUUGUACCAAUGUGAAUUAGUCACUUAGAACAAAAGUAAAAUCUAUUUAAUUGGAAUUUUUAAGAAGCCUAUCCCCAAAAUUCGAGUGACGUACGUGACGCACUGUUACUGGAACGAUAGCACCUGUGCAUAAGGAACUAGACCAAAAUGCCCUUUGCGAGUUUAUCAAGAGGGGUUAGUAAUCGUGACUGGAGAUGAUUGCAAAAGUGACUUUUGGCGAUGCAUAUAUCAAGGACAGAAAGGCAUUGCAUAUUGACACAGCCGAUCGCUUUACCUGAGGGGGAAGCAUAAACCAAGACUUGGACAGUUUUUAUAAGAUACUUUGCAAAGACAAAAUGCAACCAAAAAUUUUAAUUAUAGUCUCCGUCCUACUUUUGAUGGGAAUGACAAAUGGGGAUCUAAAUAGCUGCAUUCAUUCUUGUCAAUCUACAGAGCGCAGCUGCAGAGUGACGUGUGGAUUGACGUAUUCCUACGUCUCUGAUCGUAUCAUCUGCGAGAGUCACUGCACAAGUACCAAUGAUAGAUGUGCCGCUGGCUGUUGAGGCGAACCAAUUUAAUGGACAUGAUGGAUAUAAGCAUUGCUAAAAAGUGCAUAUGUUGAUGAGACAAAACAAAGAAAAUAAACAGUGGUAAAACUUC